UAGAACGCGUGCUAAAACUAGAAGGGAGCGGUGCGAGCCAUCUCCCCUGCUUUUCUGCCUCACUCACCGCACACCAUCUCGGCAUCUCCUUCCUCCCCCUACCAGCGCUGAAGCUUGCAUUGUAUCCAUGGCACCAGCCACUUAAGCAAACGGGUUCAGCCCUGCAAGUCGAGGAUUCAAGCAAGAAGAGGAGGCAGCAAGGAUUCAAGCAAGAACAGGAGGCAGUGCGCACCUCAUCACAUCGGUGUCGUUGGCCGGCAUGGAAAGCAAUGUAGACCUAGAGGCGUCUGAUUUACAGGUCACAGAUAACUGGGAGUUCGCAUCCGCCGUAGGCCCAGGCGUAGUUACAUCUAGGAUUUCAGUCCAAAAGCUGUGCAACAUAUUCUCCCAGUUUGGACAGUUCAAGAGGAAGUUGAUAGCAGAGAUUGGUUUGAAGGCGUGCUGUCACUCAGGUCCCUGCCGAAGCUGAACCUGAAAUUCAGUUCAUUCCUCAUGGAGAGGGUGGAUGCAGACACAUGCGUAAUCACCAUAGAUGAAGGGCGUUCAAUCAAGUUCACAGCAGCUGAUGUCAACAAUGUUUUUGGGUUUCCAAUAGGUGGGAAAAGGAUAUCAUCAUAUCCAUGUGACUUGUCGGAGGCAUGCAUUGAGUACAAGAAAUUUGCAGAAGAGCUUAGUGACAAGGGCACACAUAGCCUAAAAGCUGUAGAGGCCAUAAUGUUGAAAGACAUCCAGGAAGACUCGCCUAGCAUCGCCAUAGAGAUGUUCAAAAUUGCCGCUGUCAUUUUUAUUUUCGGGCAUUUGCUAUGUCCUUCGUCGAAGAAUGACUACACCAGCGUAGACUACUGGGGUGCACUGAACACAACUUUAGAGAUCAGUCAAUUUGAUUGGUGUGAAUUUGUCAUCGAGCACCUGUUAAGCGUUGUCCGAAAGCUGAAGACUGAUCUUCAGACAUGGCACUCAACUAUACAUCUUGUGGGUUGCCAUCUGUUCCUACAGGUUUUUGUGCUCGACAAUUUGGACCUGGGUCAGCUAACUCCUCGAGACCCUUCGACGCCCAGGGUUUGUGUUUUCGAUUAUGACAUCACCCGCAAGAUGAUAGAGGCGCUCAGUUGCAGUCAAAGUGGUGAACCAGCAUUUUCAAUCUCCAGGAAGAGCCACAUGUUCAGGACACCAGAUCAAAUGCUACAAGGUACAAUUCAAGCGCGGCACCCAACUCAAACAGGCAGGGCACAGCUAGGAAAGGCCCUGCUGACUUUGCAAACCAUCUUCGUGCCCGGUAUUCGAGCCUUUUCUCACACCCGGUAGCAAUUUAUCUGAGAGAACACAAUGCCCGUGCCAUGCGCAACAUGUUCGAAUUGCAGCAGGCAUCAUGCGACGAGAUGGUUGCUUUUGCAGACAAGAUAAUGAUUAGUUUAGCCGAUGGGUUUUUACCGAGUAACUUCAACACCCCUGGGCAUGAAACUCAUGCAUUGCGAGACAUUGCAAUUGCUGGUGCAUCACAUACACCUGUCAAUGUCCCACCAAUCCGUUCUUUGGGUGCUAGCUUGCCGCCUACAGUACAUGCGGAUGCUUGCUUGACAACUCAUUCUAAUAGCCACAGUCUAGUGCCUGGGAAGCGCAAGGAGCUAGGUACAACACCAUCGAGCAGUCGGCACUCUGCUGGAUCAACUACAUCCGGCACACACAGCACGGGUGAACCAAACAUGAAGAGAAUAUGUAUCCAGCAGCCCCCAUUUGAAGAUGACAAUGAUAUUUGUCCUCCGUAUAGCAAAGGGAAGACAAGUCAUUCGCACCGCAAUAACCUGGAUGCUUCAUGCGCUGAAUCAAAGGCCGCGGCACAGUUUGCUAGUGAUAUCAUAUCAGAGUUAAUAAUCUUAUAUGCAGACAAACACCCAGAUGGAUGCCAAGGCUCGAUUACUUUUGGCCAGAGUUUUUUAUGAACACACUGAGAAAAUCCUGCUAGCUGGAGCUAACAUGGCACGCGAUCCUUGGUCAGCUGGUUCCGUGCCAUCUGCCCCGUCAGCAAUUGCAUGUUCAGCUAUAAAGGAUUGGUUUGCUAGCGCAGCAGAGUGUACAUUGUCUAGGGUCUGGGUCAUCCACAAGUGCCCAAGGCUAAUAUACAUGACCAGGACACACAUUGCUGACCAGCUUAUUAAGGGUCAACCGAUGAGUCAUGAGAUGUGCGCAGUCAUUAUGCAGCGGUUCGGCCAGAUCGACGCAACGCUAAACUGCGAUGAACCUGGGCUGAGGUGGAGAAAAUUCAUGGAGCCAGACUUUGAUACCUUUGCGAUUGCCGAUGGAGAGCUAACAACAAUUAGGUCUAUCCAGUAACAAUUCAAGCAAGAUCCCAUGUCAUUCAAAGUUGUAUCUUGUCGUAUGUUUUAUGCUCCUGCCAUUCUACCAUUGGGGUGGUGCCUAUACGCCUUUGAUUUCACAAAGAAAAAGAUUACCGUUCUAGACCCACUCAUUGGCACGACUAGUUUCAGCAACGAAAGCAUCAGGUUGCACGAGUACGCAACCGGGAAAAUCCUUGAUGGGUUGUUCUUGUGUGCGAGGCACUUCUACUCCAACUGGCCCUACAAAACAGAAAGAUGGACCAGGGACUUCCCCAUGAUCAUGGAGGACAAUUUUACUAGCGAGGAAUCUGGGCUUUGUGUGACUUUCUUAUCCAAAUUUUUCGAUGGCGAGAAGCUCGUGAAGUCACUAAACAAGGAAAACUUGGAGUUGCACCGACACACCCUCUUGUAUGACGUCAUGCGACUAAAGGACAACAUCUCGCUCGUCCCAUCAGAUGUACUUGAAUUCAUCAAGACCUCGUUCCAUGUUCUCUAAGCAUGACUUCAUGCAAUGUGCUUACGAUCACUCGCGCGCCACCCUCGCGAAGGCACCACAACUGAUUUUACGGCAUAUCAGCAUGUAUCCAUGAUAAAUUGGCGCACCUUUAAAUCUUUGCUACCAUCCUCACCCCCCCC